GAAAUGCGAUAAGUAAUGUGAAUUGCAGAAUUCCGUGAAUCAUCGAAUCUUUGAAAGCACAUUGCGCCCUCUGGCAUUCCGGGGGGCAUGCCUGUCCGAGCGUCAUUACGCACCCUCAAGCCCGGCUUGUGUGAUGGGCCCCGGCGUCUCGUUCGCGAGACGGGCCCGAAAGGCAGCGGCGGCGUCGACCCGAUGAGCCCGAGCGUAUGGGGACUUCUGUCACACGUUCGCGGUGCGGACCGGCGCCUGCUUGACUUUUCUGAUUAUCCAGGUUGACCUCGGAUCAGGUAGGGAUACCCGCUGAACUUAAGC
rnacentral:misc_RNA from 1 species